AGAGUUUGAUCCUGGCUCAGGAUGAACGCUGGCGGCGUGCCUAACACAUGCAAGUCGAACGAGGCCCUUUGUAUUCGUACGAAGGUGUCCGAGUGGCGAACGGGUGAGUAACACGUUGGUGACCUGCCCCGAAGAAGGGGAUAACUCCGGGAAACUGGAGCUAAUACCCUAUGUGCUCCAAGGAGUUAGAGGACUUUGGAGUAAAGGAGCAAUCCGCUUUGGGAGGGGCCUGCGGCCCAUCAGCUAGUUGGUAGGGUAAUGGCCUACCAAGGCUAUGACGGGUAGGGGACCUGAGAGGGUGGCCCCCCACAAUGGCACUGAAACACGGGCCAUACACCUACGGGUGGCAGCAGUGGGGAAUAUUGCCCAAUGGACGAAAGUCUGAGGCAGCAACGCCGCGUGCGCGAUGAAGGCCUUCGGGUUGUAAAGCGCUUUUCUGGGGGAAGAGGAAGGACGGUACCCCAGGAAUAAGUCUCGGCUAACUACGUGCCAGCAGCCGCGGUAAAACGUAGGAGGCGAGCGUUAUCCGGAUUACUGGGCGUAAAGCGCGUGUAGGCGGUUUGGUAAGUCGGACGUUAAAGCUCCUGGCUCAACUGGGAGAGGCCGUUCGAGACUGUCAGACUAGAGGGCAGCAGAGGGAGGUGGAAUUUCAGGUGUAGCGGUGAAAUGCGUAGAUAUCUGAAGGAACACCAGUGGCGAAGGCGGCCUCCUGGACUGUCCCUGACGCUAAGACGCGAAAGCUAGGGGAGCGAACGGGAUUAGAAACCCCGGUAGUCCUAGCUGUAAACGAUGCAGACUUGGUGUUGGUGGUGUAGAAGCCAUCAGUGCCGUAGCUAACGCGUUAAGUCUGCCGCCUGGGGACUACGACCGCAAGGUUAAAACUCAAAGGAAUUGACGGGGGCCCGCACAAGCAGCGGAGCGUGUGGUUUAAUUCGAGGCUACGCGAAGAACCUUACCUGGGUUUGACAUGUUCGUAGUAGGGAUCCGAAAGGUGACCGACCCUUCGGGGAGCGUACACAGGUGCUGCAUGGCUGUCGUCAGCUCGUGCCGUGAGGUGUCCGGUUAAGUCCGGUAACGAGCGCAACCCUUACUCUGUGUUAUAAGUGUCACAGGGGACUGCCGGUAUAAAGCCGGAGGAAGGUGGGGAUGACGUCAAGUCAGCAUGGCCUUUAUAUCCAGGGCUACACACACGCUACAAUGGUCGGUACAAUGGGUCGCGAAGCCGCGAGGCGGAGCCAAUCCUCCAAAGCCGAUCUCAGUUCGGAUUGUAGGCUGCAACUCGCCUGCAUGAAGUUGGAGUUGCUAGUAAACGCAGGACAGCUAUACUGCGUUGAAUACGUUCCCGGGCCUUGUACGCACCGCCCGUCACGUCAUGGAAGCUGGCAACACCUAAAGUCGGUGACCCAACCGCAAGGAGGGAGCCGCCAAAGGUGGGGCUGGUAACUGGGACGAAGUCGUAACAAGGUA
rnacentral:rRNA from 1 species